rnacentral:lncRNA from 1 species
CAGAUAACAGACAAUAACACUGACUCAAACAGAAAGUUGUUCUGUUCCACUUCUGGAUUCAGUGUAGGCAUUGUCCUCUUGCAGUUUGCCUAUGAUGCCACAUUCAUGAGCAUCAUGGUCUGGACCAGUGUCUCCAUGGUACUUCUCCUCCUCACUCCCAAUCAGGACGCCAGAGGCCAAGCUGAGACCAGAGCAACCUGUACUAUCUUGAUGCUGGUAGUCACAUUUGUUAGCUUUUAUCUUCUAAAUUUUAUUUGUAUCAUGUUACAUGCCCUUUUUAUGCAUUCUCAUUUCUUCAUAAGGCUUGUCAGUGAGAUUUUAACUGCAGUCUUCCCCAGUAUCUCUCCUUUACUGUUGAUCUUCAGAGAUCCCAAGGAUCCUUGUUCUGUGCUCUUCAACUGUUGA